GCUCUUAAUUAUGAGCCCAAGAGAAUUUGAUUAAGUCAAUUAAUUGGCAUAAUUAUCCUAACAUUAUCUUUUCAUUAUCUCCUAAUUAUCUUUAAGAGUGCAUGUGGAAUAAAUAGAAGAAUGGGUGGCACCUACUUUUGUUUUUGGUAGAAAAUGGGUGCCAAAUCCUAAGAUAUUGCAAGAGAAGCCCACCUCCUUUUAUAUGGGAUGGCAUGGAGG
rnacentral:lncRNA from 1 species